GUCCCCUAUGUGCCCUAUGUGUCCCUAUGGUCCCAAUGUGUCCCUAUGGGUCCCUAUGGGUCCCUAUGUGUCCCUAUGUGUCCCUAUGGGUCCCUGUGGGUCCCUAUGCGUCCCUGUGUGUCCCUAUGGGUCUCUAUGUGUCCCUAUGGGUCCCAGUGCCUCUCUGUGGGUCCCUAUGGCUCUCUAUGUGUCCCUAUGUGUCCCUAUGGCUCUCUAUGGGAUCUCUAGGGGUCCCUAUGUGUCCCUAUGUGUCCCUAUGGGUCGCUAUGGGUCCCGUCAGCGCUGUGUGCGCCCCAUAGGCGUCGCUAUGUGUCCCUAUGUGUCCCUAUGGGUCCCUAUGUGUCGCUAUGGGUCACUAUGGGUCCCGUCAGCGCUGUGUGCGCCCCAUAGGCGUCGCUAUGGGUCCCUAUGUGUCCCUAUGUGUCCCUAUGGGUCCCUAUGUGUCCCUAUGGGUCCCAAUGCCUCUCUGUGGGUCCCUAUGGGUCGCUAUGGGUCCCGUCAGCGCUGUGUGCCCCAUAGGCGUCGCUAUGUGUCCCUAUGUGUCCCUAUGUGUCCCUAUGUGUCCCUAUGUGUCCCUAUGGGUCCCAAUGUGUCCCUAUGGGUCCCAAUGCCUCUCUGUGGGUCCCUAUGUGUCCCUAUGUGUCUGUAUGUGUCCCAAUGCCUCUCUAUGUGUCUCUAUGGCUCUCUAUGUGUCCCUAUGUGUCCCUAUGUGUCCCUAUGGCUCUCUAUGCGUCGCUAUGUGUCCCUAUGUGUCCCUAUGUGUCCCAAUGUGUCCCUAUGGGUCCCUAUGUGUCCCUAUGGGUCCCUAUGUGUCCCAAUGCCUCUCUAUGUGUCCCUAUGUGUCCCUAUGGGUCGCUAUGGGUCCCGUCAGCGCUGUGUGCCCCAUAGGCGUCGCUAUGUGUCCCUAUGUGUCCCUAUGUGUCCCUAUGGUUCCCUAUGUGUCCCUAUGGUUCCCUAUGUGUCCCAAUGCCUCUCUGUGGGUCCCUAUGGGUCCCUAUGUGUCCCUAUGGGUCCCAAUGCUUCUCUGUGGGUCCCUAUGUGUCCCUAUGGGUCCCUAUGUGUCCCUAUGCCUCUCUAUGUGUCCCUAUGUGUCCCUAUGGGUCUCUAUGUGUCCCUAUGUGUCCCUAUGGUUCCCAAUGUGUCCCUAUGGGUCCCAAUGCCUCUCUGUGGGUCCCUAUGGGUCCCUAUGUGUCCCUAUGGCUCUCUAUCCGAUCUCUAUGGCUCUCUAUGGCUCUCUAUGUGUCCCUAUGUGUCCCUAUGUGUCCCUAUGGGUCCCAAUGUGUCCCUAUGGGUCCCAAUGCCUCUCUGUGGGUCCCUCUGGGUCCCUAUGUGUCCCUAUGGCUCUCUAUGUGUCCCAAUGCCUCUCUAUGUGUCCCUAUGUGUCCCUAUGUGUCCCUAUGGGUCCCUAUGGGUCACUAUGGGUCCCGUCAGCGCUGUGUGCGCCCCAUAGGCAUCGCUAUGUGUCCCUAUGUGUCCCUAUGGGUCCCUAUGUGUCCCUAUGGGUCGCUAUGGGUCCCGUCAGCACUGUGUGUGCUUCAUAGGCGUCGCUAUGUGUCCUUGUG
ensembl:lncRNA